rnacentral:rRNA from 1 species
UACGGGGGGAGCAAGCGUUGUUCGGAUUUACUGGGCGUAAAGGGCGCGUAGGCGGCCAGCACAGGUCAGUUGUGAAAUCUCCGAGCUUAACUCGGAAAGGUCAACUGAUACUGUGCGGCUAGAGUGCGGAAGGGGCAACUGGAAUUCUUGGUGUAGCGGUGAAAUGCGUAGAUAUCAAGAGGAACACCUGCGGCGAAGGCGGGUUGCUGGGCCGACACUGACGCUGAUGCGCGAAAGCCAGGGGAGCGAACGGG